GUGCUUGUACCAACAGCACAUAUACUAAAAGUGGAACAAUACAGAGAAAAUUUGCAUGGCUCCUAAACAAGACAUGGAACUUCUAAAAAAAAUGAACUAUGCAACUUGU
ensembl:snRNA U6 U6 spliceosomal RNA